AUUGAACGCUGGCGGAAUGCUUUACACAUGCAAGUCGAACGGCAGCACGGACUUCGGUCUGGUGGCGAGUGGCGAACGGGUGAGUAAUGUAUCGGAGCGUGCCCAGUCGUGGGGGAUAACGUAGUGAAAAUUACGCUAAUACCGCAUACGAUCUAUGGAUGAAAGCGGGGGAUCGCAAGACCUCGCGCGAUUGGAGCGGCCGAUAUCAGAUUAGGUAGUUGGUGGGGUAAAGGCCCACCAAGCCAACGAUCUGUAGCUGGUCUGAGAGGACGACCAGCCACACUAGAACUGAGACACGGUCCAGACUCCUACGGGAGGCAGCAGUGGGGAAUUUUGGACAAUGGACGCAAGUCUGAUCCAGCCAUUCCGCGUGCAGGAUGAAGGCCCUCGGGUUGUAAACUGCUUUUGUACGGAACGAAAAGGUCUCUCUUAAUACGGGGGGCUCAUGACGGUACCGUAAGAAUAAGCACCGGCUAACUACGUGCCAGCCGCCGCCGUAA
rnacentral:rRNA from 1 species